rnacentral:rRNA from 1 species
UACGUAGGGACCGAGCGUUGUCCGGAAUCAUUGGGCGUAAAGAGCGUGUAGGCGGCCAACUAAGUCCUGCGUGAAAUCUCGGGGCUCAACCCCGAGCGGUCGUGGGAAACUGGUUGGCUAUAGUGCGGGAGAGGAGAGUGGAAUUCCUGGUGUAGCGGUGAAAUGCGCAGAUAUCAGGAAGAACACCCGUGGCGAAGGCGGCUCUCUGGAACGCAACUGACGCUGAGACGCGAAAGCGUGGGGAGCAAACAGG